rnacentral:lncRNA from 1 species
AGAAGGCCACUGAUGAAGGAAGAAGUUUGUCUUCAAAAAAGCUGCUUCUGCAUCUCACUGGAGUGCUUCCUUGGUUUAAAUGCCAGUAAGGACAGUUGAAGUCCUUUGCUUUAAAUCUGUUAAAUCCUUAUUUGCAGUACUCUUUAUCACAGCUUGGUCCUUGUUGGAUAUACUCUCGCCUCUACCCUAUGUAAAUUCAUUAGAAACAGGUUGCUGUGGUAGUUUCCCCUCUUAAACAGUAUACAAGUUAUUGUUUCCUCUUGCAAAGCCUUUCUCUUCCUUUUCCCAGAAACAGUGAACAGCUAUAUUGAAUAGAUUUCCCUACAAGGUUAUUUUACAGGUCAGGAGGUUAGCUUACUUUUGUCUUUUUACUUCAGCUGUUUCAGAAGAAAUCCUCUGUGUGUUCUCCUGAAUUGUAAAGGCUAGUAAGAAUGAGAAGUCUAAGCCAUCCAUUAAUCCACAGGCAAAAUACUAUUCAAGCAGCUGCAGUGAAAGCUCUCACAUGCUGCCCUGGAAAUAACCCCAGCCUUGACAUGGUGUCAGCUACCCAACACCGCCACCAUGCAGCGAGUGGACAGUUGUCUGAAUCACUUAACACUGAAAAUGUGCUAGCUCUUCAGAGCUCUAGCAGCCCUCCCCAGAACUGCAGGCAAUUUGACAUUCACUCUAGCUACCCAUCUCCUCCAAAAUUUCUGUGA